rnacentral:rRNA from 1 species
CCUACGGGGGGCUGCAGUGGGGAAUUUUGGACAAUGGGCGAAAGCCUGAUCCAGCCAUGCCGCGUGCAGGAUGAAGGCCUUCGGGUUGUAAACUGCUUUUGUGAACCGUUCGGUACCGUAAGAAUAAGCACCGGCUAACUACGUGCCAGCAGCCGCGGUAAUACGUAGGGUGCAAGCGUUAAUCGGAAUUACUGGGCGUAAAGCGUGCGCAGGCGGUGAUGUAAGACAGUUGUGAAAUCCCCGGGCUCAACCUUGGAACUGCAUCUGUGACUGCAUCGCUGGAGUACGGCAGAGGGGGAUGGAAUUCCGCGUGUAGCAGUGAAAUGCGUAGAUAUGCGGAGGAACACCGAUGGCGAAGGCAAUCCCCUGGGCCUGACUGACGCUCAUGCACGAAAGCGUGGGGAGCAAACAGGAUUAGAUACCCCUGUAGUC